UACGUAGGGUGCGAGCGUUAUUCGGAAUUACUGGGCGUAAAGCGUGCGUAGGCGGUUCGUUAAGUGCGUCGUGAAAGCCCCGGGCUCAACCUGGGAAUGGCGAUGGAAACUGGCGGGCUGGAGUAUGGCAGAGGGGGGUGGAAUUCCGCGUGUAGCAGUGAAAUGCGUAGAGAUGCGGAGGAACACCGAUGGCGAAGGCAGCCCCCUGGGCCAAUACUGACGCUCAGGCACGAAAGCGUGGGGAGCAAACAGG
rnacentral:rRNA from 1 species